AUGUCAUUUGGAAGGAUAAGUGGGAAGAGGGAGCUUUGAUUGACUCGUGCCUUGGACCUCCUUGAUCUCUCUCCAUUUACCUGUGGGACAACCUGCCUUGGGUUUACAACUGCAUUUUAUGGAGGAUUUAGGAAGAUAUUUGAGGAAGGUUUGUUCUCUUUUCUGCUUUUCUGGUAAUGAAGCAGAACAAUUUGACGAUUUUUUUUUGAUAAAUAGCUGAAAAUGUAAAAACUCUAUAGGCUGGAUUCUUACAGGACAGCCCAAAACCACUGAAUGUAAGCACAUCCAAGAAUGACAGUGGCAAUCUCUUCUUUAUUCCUUCCUUACAAUAGGAAGGUCUAUUGUACAUCUGCUUUUUUUUUUCUCUUUUCUGGGUUUUGUUAAGAUGAUGACAAGCAAGCUUAAAUAUUGUAUUUUCCAAUAUAAAGUAUUCUACUUAAAAGAUCUAAAAAGUUAUUUUGAGCAAAAUCAGCAUUUGUCCCAUGUGCCGAAAGAGAAAGAAAUGUUUUACCUAUCUUCAACUGUUCAUUCCACUUUCCAUGAUGUUUUUAAACUGAUUGUCAUGGCUUUGGGCAAAGUUUCUUUGUGGAAAGCUAGGCCUUUUUCAUAAACCAGUUCUUCCUUGUUUUAUCAAUACUUAUUUGCUGUGGUAGGGGUGAGGGAUAUCACAUCCUUUGACCUAGGAUGUGAUAUGGGGCAUCAUAUGUUCUUUGAGGUGGUUUAGAAGCGAUUAAAUUCGUAGGCAUUUGAAAAUAACUUUUGGAUGCUCUCUGCAAGAUGUGUCACAGAGAUGUUGAACCUAGUGAGAUAAUUCGGAUUCCUCUGUAGUAGUUAGCAAUGAACCACAGUGAAGUCUGUAUCCUUCUGUUAGACGGUUACUCAGCAUACCCUUGCUGAGUAGUGAGAUUCUGAAGUAAAACUAAUUAUUCCAGCUAAUUAGUGCUAGGAAGACCUAACACAAACCUGCAUGAAAAUUUUGUGAGUGUGUCUGGGGUUGUACUUGUUUAUUUAAUUCUCCCAGGGUGUUGUCUGCUAUGUUUUUUUUUGAAAGGGUCGCAGCUGGAGGUGGGUAGGAGGAGGCAGGCUGCCUCUUUGCCUUGUCUCAACUGCUGUCUUGUGACUCAGCCUGAAAACUGAGGAGAAGACACAAGUGGGGGCUGCUGAGCUGUUUUCAGGGAAACCAAAUGCUCCAGGGACAGGGAAGGUCAAUGACUUGAUCUCUGAAUUUGUGUAUAUCCUGUGAAGAUCUCUAUUCUUAGAAGAUAUUACAGACUGACUAGGACAGCAAUAGCUGCAGUAGAUCGUCAUGGAUCAGAUGCACCUUUUGCCACUGUGCUGACUUGAUAUGUGAAAUCUUGGUAUGAUAUUGAGAAAUGUCCCAUAAAGUAAUUCAGGCUUAUUGUUGGACAGAAGGCAUUGAAAUGGCUUGUGUUGCAAUUGGGAGUUGCUGUAUUAAGCUCUAAUUUGUGGUUUAUUCUAGAGGAAAAUAUUCAGUUAAGAUAAUUAAUACAUAAUACUUUAUUUUUUGUUUUCUUUGGUAGAUUAUCACAGAUGUAUAUUAUACUUCAUUUCUGUUUACAUAUACAUUUAGAGAGAGUAGCUGAUAUCUGAUAUCAUUGUAAGUUUGGAGAUCUUUGGAUGCAUUAUUUUAAACAAAAAAUAUAGGCCAAUGUUGUUCUUUCCAUACUGGCUGAAUUUAGUUAUUUCAUUAGAAAACAUUUUAUAUAUGUAGAUGCAUAAACUUUCUAUGUGAGGUGAAAUCCAGAGACUGAUUAAGUGGUUGCAAAAACCUUCAGUAGUGGACACUUGCCUAUCUAUCAGAUAAGGGAAAGCUUUUCUUUCAGCUACUUCUGCUUGUUUGUAUUAGAUAAAGAGUUUACAUUCUCACUGUCGUCUAAAUAAAAGACAUCCAUAAAAUGCAGUUUAUUCGACUCACCUUUGUCAGAUAUCUCAUCAUAUUUAUUUGCAGAAGUUAAGAGAGAAUUUGCCCUUUGCUAGUUUUAGCUUGC